GAUGAACGCUAGCUACAGGCUUAACACAUGCAAGUCGAGGGGUAACGAGAGGAAAGCUUGCUUUCCUUGUCGACGACCGGCGCACGGGUGAGUAACGCGUAUCCAACCUGCCCCCAACUAGGGAAUAACCUUGCGAAAGUAAGACUAAUACCCUAUAAUUUCCUCAGAUGUCAUCUGACGAGGAAUAAAGAUUUAUCGGUUGUGGAUGGGGAUGCGUCUGAUUAGCUUGCUGGCGGGGUAACGGCCCACCAAGGCAACGAUCAGUAGGGGUUCUGAGAGGAAGGUCCCCCACAUUGGAACUGAGACCCGGUCCAAACUCCUACGGGAGGCAGCAGUGAGGAAUAUUGGUCAAUGGGCGGAAGCUUGAACCAGCCAAGUAGCGUGCAGGAUGACGGCCCUAUGGGUUGUAAACUGCUUUUAUACAGGAAUAAAGUUAGCCACGUGUGGUUAUUUGUAGGUACUGUAUGAAUAAGGACCGGCUAAUUCCGUGCCAGCCGCCGCCGUAA
rnacentral:rRNA from 1 species